rnacentral:lncRNA from 1 species
GUUAACCUUUCAGAGACUCGAUGGUCUCACCUGUAAACUGGAGCUCAGGAUACCUAGCUGUCAGGGUGGUUAGGAUGGUCAAAGGGCACCCCCAGGAGCAUGAUAAACAUGAGCUGAAACAGCGAAGUCGGAAUCUGUAUACAGACAUGACCUGUCGCCUCUCGGAGCAUUAACCCUCCCAGUGAACUGGCAGGAGAGGUCUCCUGUCUUACUUCUCGGAGCAGAGGCACAGAGCUGGGAAGUCGGCCUGCCCACCUCCCCUGAGAGCUGGCAAGAGAGCCAGGAAUGGGAUGCACGCACAUGCCGUUUGAUCCAGAGCUCUUGCUACCAGGCGCAUGGCCUCUUUAACAGCUCACCGGUUGUUGGAUUUGCUUCCAUUUUCUCCUGGGCCUAAAUCGUUCCCCAGCUUCCAAGGGGCACUCCCUCUUUCACACUUGAGGGUACCACCCAGGGAACUGAAGGCUCGGAAAGAGUAGCAACAGGGAGUAACAUGGGCACCAGGGAGAAGGAGGCUUGUUAUAUUCUUUCUAGAUGAAUCUCCAGGCUGCGGCAGUCCCGGGCGAGUCCCAGGCCUGCCGCAAAACCUGUCCGCCGUGGGACUGCCUCAACAUGCUGUUUGGGAAGUCAAGAUGUUCAGUGUAAACUUUGUUCUCCCUUCCCUUUCUUCGGGGAUUCACAGAGGCAGCUCUUCCAGGGCCUUCCUCUCCAAGUCUUUCUGGUGCUGAAAUCUGAGGUCACACACCCUGGAACACGACUUCUCUGUCAGAACAAGCCCGUGAAGCGGCUGUCCUAUCCGAGAGGGCUGUGCAGCGGGUGGUGUUGGCCCUUGAGUUUGCCAUGGUUUGGGUUUCUCAGUGGCACUAUUUUUGGCAGAUUUUUUUUUCCCUCGCUCUUUAUCACAAGCCCGUCGGGGAAAUGACAGCGGAAUUGCAAGCUUGAAUGGACUUGUUUGACAGGCCAACUUUCAUCCUGAGCACUGCUGCUGACUUUUAAAAAGGAACUCUGAGAGGAGGAUAGUAAUUUCACACUAAUUCCUUGCUGUAAUUUGCUUUUGAGUAUAAAAUGUCGUGUUUCAAUCACCCUAGCUGCGUGGUGUAAGGGAGAAGAUGGGACACACGUGUGGUUAAUGUGUUUGUAAUAGACACACACAAAGACACCACUUUGCUCUGAAGCAACAACACAGGAAACACUCAUCCACACUUCAAGGGAAUCUCCACCAGGUACAAACAAGUGCAUUCAAAGGAAUUCAUAAUACAUUGCCAGCUUUGGCAGAAACAGAGAGCUCCUUUAAACAGAAAAUCUCACGCUUGACAUCUCCAUCAUCCAAGCGUUUAUGAGAAUAUCUUUAUCCCCCAGGCUGCAUUAUGGAGAGGAAUUGGGGUGGUUUUAGGCAAACCCCAAAAGUAGGAGGGUCUGAAACCCUGGAUGGACUUAAUGCAUUGGGGGAACAGAUCAGGUUCAGCUGAGGAAAGUGAAAUUCAUCUGGGAGAAGGGUAAGUUAAUAGGUACUGGCCAAAAGGGAAAUAGCCUCCACGCUGAAGAGAGCUGAUGAGGCUGUGCUUGGAAAAUCCCCUAAGAAAAAAACUACAGGGUCUCACAGAGAAGCCAGUGGUGAGGGCUUUGCCCAGUUUAGAAGCAGGAAGCAACAACUUUUUCUGAUUUAUUAAUCUGCACAUGGAAGCACCCUAAUCCCAUCCCUUCACCAACUCUCACCGCACUUAACUAUCCUGGCCACACUGCCUGACAUUUCAUUUUUCUCCCGGGAUGGCCGCUAAUAUUUCACAUACUUAGUCUUGCUCUCACCUAGAUUAUAAAUUCCUCGAGGUCAGGAGUCAAAAUCCAGCCCCAGGCUCCUUCCCAGGACUCCGUAACUCCCUGGAGGAUUGCAGAGCCCUUCACACAUUGUUCGCAAGGCUUCUGAAACAAUGGCAAGAUUGCACAAGGGCCAGGAAGGGUAUUUUUAGAACAGAUCCAAGCUCUUUGGUGGGCCCUCAGGCUGUUUACCACCUAACCUGACCGCCUUUGGUGUCCUUCUGGCCCUGGCUCCAUAUGCCGUGUGCUCCAGCUGAGCAAAACUAAAUGCUCUCAUGCCUCCGUGUCUUUGCACGUGCUGUUCCCUCUGCCAGCUGCCCUUGCCCCUUCUUGCAUCUGUGGACUGUCUUUCAGCUCUAGGCCGCCUUCUCUCUCCCCACGGAACUGCCAGCAUCCCUUAGGCAGAGCUGAUGGUGCCUCACUCUGUGGGUCCAGGGUGCUUUCUGGAGGCCUUAAUGGGGAGGCAGGGCCAGCUGCCAGUCAUCAGGUUGGUACAGCCAUCGGGUUGGUACUGCCUGGUUGGCAGGCCUGUCUUUUCAGUUAGCCUGAGACUGCCUUGAGGCCAGGGCUACCUUCCUCCCUGUCUCUAAGUUCUUGGCCCCCAGCACAGUGCCUGGCACUCAGCAAAUGUUUCUUGAAUGAAUGUGCUUCCCAUGUUGGGCAGAUCAUGACGAAGGCAAUAGCAGGGCCCAGUGUGUAAUGCGAGGACAGCAAAAAGGGACCCUGCUUUGAGACCAGAGAUGCUUCACAGGGAAGCCACAUCUGGAGCCCUUCCUGAUAAGCUGGGUCAACUGGGACCGCUCCUAGACAGGGUGUUUGAGGAGGUGGUGCUUGCUUUAGGCAGCCCCAGCCUCAUUCUGAGAGCUUGUUCCACUUUGAGGAUUUCUCUGUUUUCCAUUUCCAAAUCUUUAUGCUAUCCCUCAGUUACACUUGCUCAAAGGGUGAUUGCUAGCAGUCUCCGAAGAUAGGCUAAGAGGUGUGGGUAAGCGGCAGUGUGCUGGGGUUGGGGAUGGGGGGACAGGGCAUUGCCCGGGCUGUGUGGGAGGCAGGAGCGAGAUGAUGAAGAUUCUGGACUCCAAGCUGGCCCCAGAUGCCAGCCCACCUUGUGUGAUACACUGAGAGUGCCUCAGUUUCCCUGCCUGUUAAACAGUAAUGGCUCCUUCAUUGAGUUGUUCUGAAAAAUCAAGUUAGUACAAAGGAAGCACAGAAAGUGUGCCUGACACAGGCAAUCUCUCACUGCAUGCCAGCUCCUGGCAUUUGGAAUCUGAAGAUGGAAUCCAGUCUGACUUCCUUCACUCGCAAGUUGUCCAAGUCACCUCACCUCCCCAUUCAUGUUCUCAUGUCUCUGAGAUGAGGAUAAUAAGGCUGACCUUGCCGGGUGUUGGGAGAAUCAGAUAAUCAGAGAGUGGAGUGAGUGCAUUUUGCAAGCUACAAGGUGCCUUCCCAAGGGAAGCGUGAAGUCACCUGGGUGAAGGUAUUGGGAAGUGAGGCCCUGUCACAGAUCCUGCCCCACAAGAGCUACCCCUGUAAGGAAUCAAUGACUCGGUAUUAACCAUGCUUUUAAUUUCUGUAAAGUGAUGCAUUGACAUCCACCUAAGGCCCUAUUUGCCAACCUAAGCCAAUUGUGACUCACCCGUUGCAAUGGUUAACUUUAUGUGUCAAGUUGGCUGGGCUGUGCUGCCUGGAUGUGUGGUCCAACAUUAUUCAGAAUGUUUCUGUGGGAGUGUUUUUGAAAGAGAUUAACAUUUAAAUCAGCAGGCUUUGAGCAAAGCAGGUGGCCCUCCAUGUUGCAGGUGGGCCUCAUCCAAUCAACUGAAGGCUCCAGUAGAGCCAAGCCUGACCCUAGGAAGAGAAUUCUGCCAGUGGACGGUCUUCUAACUUGAACUGCAACAUCAUCUCCCUGGGUCUCCAGCCUGCUGGAGAUUUUGGACUUUUCAGCCUCCAUAAUAAUGAUGAAGACGAGCUAGCUCUGCGCAUGUGUGCGUGUGGGAGAAAGGCCAGUUGCAGUCAGUGUCACGGUGCUGUUUUUGAAACUCUGCAGGUCCCUCAUAGGCCGGCUGAUAUCACCCAUGCCAGGAUUGCUUGGCCUUGACAGAGCCUGUGUUAGAAGGGACUAUCAUGAAGAUGGUCAGCCUCGAGUACCUCCCUUUACCAUUGAACAGUGACCCCUCAUCCUCCAACCACAAUCCAUGGCCGCUGGAAUCAGACAAACCCAGCUGAAACCACAGCUCUCUUUCUGAGUGCCUCUCUCUGAGGGAGUUUCUUAACCUUUCUGAGUUUUCCUCAGCUGUGAGAUGGGAAUCCUAUUUUACAAUUGAAGUCCCGUCUAGAGAAGGAGAAAGCCUACACAGUUGAUCCUUGAACAACACAAGUUUGAACUGCACGGUCCACUUAUGCAUGGAUUUUCUUUUGCCUCUGCCACCCCUGAGAUGGCAAGACCAAUCCCUCCUCUUCCUCCUCCUCCUCAGCCUACUUGACAUGAAGACAUCAAGAAUGAAGACCUUUAAGAUGAUCCGCUUCCAUGUCAUGAUGAGCAAAUAUAUUUUCUCUUCUUUAUGAUUUUCUUUUCUCUAACUCACUUUCUCGUGAGAAUAGUGUCUAAUACCUAGAACAUACAAAAUGUAUGUUAAUCAACUGAUUAUGUUAUCAGCAAGGCUUCUGGUCAACAUAGACUAUCAGUAGUUAAGUUCUGAGAGAGGCAAAAGUUAUAUGUGGAUUUUCCGCUGUUAAGGGGUUGGCGCCCCAACCCCCAUGUUGUUCAAGGGUCACCUGCUCUUCCAGGAGUAAGAGCAGUGAUGGAUUUAUGCACAGAGUGGCAGGAGACCCUGGAGAAGAAGCCCUAGCUCAGCGGGGAGACCAAGGAGGACAAUGUGGAAGGGGCAGUCCUGAGUAGACCCUUAAAUCCCUGGGAAAUGGCAGGCUGUGUGCAGGCGUGAUCAGACCUUCAACAGCACCUAAAGUUACAAGGCCCAGUCUCAGAAUCCCCUGGGGAUAUUCAAUCAGCAUCUUGAUGAUUGACAAGAUGAGCUUCAGCCUGUGCCUUUAACACUGCAGGGGCUGAGCCCCUCUAGCAGCAUCUCCAACACCACCAGUGGACCAGCAGCCCUGGGGCCUGCCUGGCUUCUGCAGCUCAAGGCGCAAUGGGAAACCACAGAUGUCACAAAAAUUGGCUCCCUUCCGCCGGGCGCGAUGCCUCACACCUGUAAUCCCAG